CCCUGCACUGUGUCUGGGCAAUAAAUAGAGUAGGGCUCAUCUUAGUUGAAGGGAUGUGAGUUAGGCAGCCACAAGGGUGAGAAGGCUACACAACACUGUCUAUUAUGAUGAAAGCUUGCCAACCAAGAGGAAUGUGCUGGAAUUGUGCCUAAACUACUGAUGAACACAUCUAAAAUCAAUUACAGCUUUGAGAUGCUGUAUGCAUGUUUGUACAACUAAAAGAAUAUGAUCUAAUCUGGAAAAUCCUUCACUGUCAUUCCCAGAGGCUUGAAUCCUAGAUGAUUCUACAUCCGACCAACUUGGUAAUCAGUCACAACCAUCAUAAUAUGUAAGGCUUAAUUCUCUAAGCCCAUCAUGGGAACGCCAGCCUCAAAGAUAAGUUAACUGCUUAUGGAUUUCAUGGCUCUUAACAUUGAGUGCAAGCUUGACAUUAUCUACAAUCACCUCCUAGUCUUACUCCUGGGGACAUGGGUAAGGGCUUUCGAUUAACGAGGUAGGAAGCACCACUCUAAAUGAGGAACACAGCAUCCCAUGAGCUGUGGUUCCAAACUAAAUCAAAAGACAAAGCCACUAGAGCACACACAGCUUCCUGACAGCAGGCACAUGUGACCAACUGUCACCUAUGCCCAGUGUGCUGCUUUUCCUAGGUGAAAAUGCUUCAACCGAAGUCAUGGGAGGGAAGAACCUAUGUAGAAAGGAACGAAGACUUUCCUUUGCCCCUUUGAUCUACUAGGCAAGGGCUUGUCUUGCUAACUCUCUAGCCAUGAGGACAAACUCUUGAUCCCAUAAGAGAGACUCUGUCUGAAACAAAAAGGUGGAGAACAACAGAGUAAGAUACCUUCAACUGCUGGUUUUACUUGCAAAGGUUCAUCCCUACCCGAGAAUUUGGUUGAAGCACCGAACUCUGAAGACACUGUGAUCUCAUUGAUUCAGCUUCUGGACACCUAACACUUCAGCUGAAUUACAGAGGUUACAAAGGCACACCGAAGGAAAAGGGAAGGCUCUCUCAUCAAUCUGUGUUACAGUCACCUUGGGAAGAAGAGGCAGAAGCACUCACUCAGCACUUACAGGAAAAAUUACCAAAGUAAAAUAUUGGUACUGACAAGAGUGGCUACUGUGAUGAACCUGUUCGUGUGGUUUCUAAGAUUUUCCAACUGGCUUGUGAGAGAAAAGUGAAAUCAUUGUGAACUGCAGGCUCGAAAAGCUCUAGAGUGUUGGAAGCAGAAUUUUGUAAAAAGAAAGUAAGAUUCAGAGGACGGAGAAAAAAGCUAUAAAACACCUUGUCGUGGACAUAGCAUGGCUGAGGAACCUUUGAACUCACUGCAACUGUGGUCGACUGUACAAGAUCAAUCUAAUUAAAAUUCUAGAAUUGAUGGGGAAGGGACUUCUGAGGCCAAGCCCUAGUUAGGAAGCUAUUGGUAAUUGAUGGCUGAAGAGUGAUGGAGAGUCACAUUUGGAGGAGAAUCUAGACACUAGUAGGUUGCAUAAGUUCCAUUAAGUGUCUCUGUACUCUUAUCUAGCACCAAUUGCAUACAUGAUAUUGAUACUAGCAAUCUUAAAAGAGUACAUGAAGUACAGAGUUGUCAUGUUGGUGAGUCCUAGAGGGGGAAGUAGAAUAAAAAUUGUUCACAAUAGAA
rnacentral:lncRNA from 1 species